AAAUUGAAGAGUUUGAUCAUGGCUCAGAUUGAACGCUGGCGGCAGGCCUAACACAUGCAAGUCGAGCGGUAGCACAGAGAGCUUGCUCUCGGGUGACGAGCGGCGGACGGGUGAGUAAUGUCUGGGAAACUGCCUGAUGGAGGGGGAUAACUACUGGAAACGGUAGCUAAUACCGCAUAAUGUCGCAAGACCAAAGUGGGGGACCUUCGGGCCUCAUGCCAUCAGAUGUGCCCAGAUGGGAUUAGCUAGUAGGUGGGGUAACGGCUCACCUAGGCGACGAUCCCUAGCUGGUCUGAGAGGAUGACCAGCCACACUGGAACUGAGACACGGUCCAGACUCCUACGGGAGGCAGCAGUGGGGAAUAUUGCACAAUGGGCGCAAGCCUGAUGCAGCCAUGCCGCGUGUGUGAAGAAGGCCUUCGGGUUGUAAAGCACUUUCAGCGGGGAGGAAGGCGGUAAGGUUAAUAACCUUGUCGAUUGACGUUACCCGCAGAAGAAGCACCGGCUAACUCCGUGCCAGCAGCCGCGGUAAUACGGAGGGUGCAAGCGUUAAUCGGAAUUACUGGGCGUAAAGCGCACGCAGGCGGUCUGUCAAGUCGGAUGUGAAAUCCCCGGGCUCAACCUGGGAACUGCAUUCGAAACUGGCAGGCUAGAGUCUUGUAGAGGGGGGUAGAAUUCCAGGUGUAGCGGUGAAAUGCGUAGAGAUCUGGAGGAAUACCGGUGGCGAAGGCGGCCCCCUGGACAAAGACUGACGCUCAGGUGCGAAAGCGUGGGGAGCAAACAGGAUUAGAUACCCUGGUAGUCCACGCCGUAAACGAUGUCGAUUUGGAGGUUGUGCCCUUGAGGCGUGGCUUCCGGAGCUAACGCGUUAAAUCGACC
rnacentral:rRNA from 1 species